AACUAGGACAACUAAUAUGCUUCAAACUUCCAAUGAUAAUGUAUAGGCAAGAAGACAGCUCUGUCCUCUAGGCUGUGCUUUUAGUGCCAACUUUCUUAAUAACAUCACCUAUUCUGCUGACACUCACUCUGGAGGAAAUAAAACUUCAGAGCCCCUGGCUAAACAGGAUCUGAGAGGAAGGGUUUUACUCCUGGGUCUGAAAAAGUCAUCAAAUCUUGGUAAUUCUUAGACACUGACAUCAGUCAAAGCCUCAUCUGCAGACCUAGGAGAAGGUGAUAAUAAAAAUGAACUGCUUUUGUGAGACAGGGGGCCAGAAAUUAAAACUGUUCAAUUGCUCUAGGCCCCAGCAUUGUUUCAGAAGAG
rnacentral:lncRNA from 1 species